rfam:Gossypium hirsutum cultivar TM-1 chromosome 10, whole genome shotgun sequence
AACUAAUGGUGAGGGCACCUUCUCAAUAGAUCCUUGUAUCUCUCCCAUGCAUCGUAAAGUGUUUUUAAGUCCAUCUGCACAAAAGAAGAGAUAUCACUGUGUAAUUU